CCUGCGCAGACCACUGAAGAGGCAGCAUGUAACUUGCCCAGCUGAGAAAGGGAAUGUGAAGAGAAGGAAUAGUGGCUCCUACCGGCUGAGACGUGCCAAGCCCUUCAAUUCACCUCUUUUCUGUGAAAGGUCCAACAACUUCCUUUGCAUUCAAUAGAUGAAGGCAUUGCCAGGGCAGGGAACCCAUUUCCUGGUGUGGAAUCAAGUUCAUGUUUGCCUGCAUGACCUGAGAGACAUGCGUAUGCCAAAUUAAAUGUAUGGAGGUCAGAAGAUAACUCUUUGGGGAUUCGCUCUGUUCUUCCACAAGGUCCUAAAAAUGAAGGUGGCCCCUAUAGGUGAGGGUGGACCAAGUUUGUCUACCUGCUCUCCAUAAAGACACAUAGUCUGAACCUCUACAAGUCAGUACCCACACACAGCUCUCAGACAACCGAACCUUCCCAUACUGGCUCUCCCUGAGAUUAUCAGCUUCUCUACUAUACCCCAGACCCUCCCUGAGGCCUAGUCAGCGCCUUUCCAGCCCGCUGUUCCGAUUACUGUGUCUGGAACACUUGUUCCUCCCGCUCUUCCCUGCCAUGCGCACCACCCAGCCCCUCCUAAUACCCGACCCAGCUCCCUGCCAGACUGCGCAGGCAGUGAAAGGACCUGUCCCUUGUUCCCGGAAGAUGGAAGAUCGCCCACGCCUGGAGCUGUGCCGAGAGCCUGGGUGAGGGCGUCAUAAAUACCUCCUGAAUGAUUCAUUCAUUCCUCUGGAAGAGAAAGUAUGACCCUUAAGAGAUUAAAAAUAGCUGGGCGGUGGUGGCGCAUGUCUUUAAUCCCAGCACUUGGGAUGCAGAGGCAGGCCGAUUUCUGGGAGUUCGAAGUCAGCCUGGUCUAUAAGAGCUAG